UGGCUUAAGGUGUAGGACACUUUAACUUCA
rnacentral:piRNA from 1 species